rnacentral:rRNA from 1 species
AACGAACGCUGGCGGCAUGCCUAACACAUGCAAGUCGAACGAGACCUCCGGGUCUAGUGGCGCACGGGUGCGUAACGAGGGGGAACCUGCCCUUAGGUUCGGAAUAAUUCCCUGUAAGGGGUGCUAAUACAGGAUAAUGUAUUCGGACAAAAGAUUUAUCGCCUUUGGAUGGGCCCGCGUUGGUUUAGCUAGUUGGUAGGGUAAAAGCCUACCAAGGCGACGUUCCAUAGCUGGUCUGAGAGGAUGAUCAGCCACACUGGGGCUGGGACACGGCCCAGACUCGUACGGGAGGCAGGAGUGGGGAAUAUUGGACAAUGGGGGAAGGCCUGAUCCAGCAAUGCCGCGUGAGUGAUGAAGGCCUUAGUGUAGUAAAGCUCUUUGACCCGGGAUGAUAGUGACAGUACCGGGAGAAUAAGCACCGGCUAACUCCGUG